AUUCAGCUGACGAGUCCGAAACAGGAUGAAACAUACAUCCUGAAU
rfam:Schistosoma margrebowiei strain Zambia genome assembly, scaffold: SMRZ_scaffold0002454